GACGAACGCUGGCGGCGUGCCUAAUACAUGCAAGUCGAGCGAACCAAUAAGAAGCUUGCUUUUUGUUGGUUAGCGGCGGACGGGUGAGUAACACGUGGGUAACCUGCCUGUAAGACCGGGAUAACUCCGGGAAACCGGUGCUAAUACCGGAUAGAUUAUCUUUCCGCAUGGAGAGAUAAGGAAAGAUGGCUAUUGCCAUCACUUACAGAUGGGCCCGCGGCGCAUUAGCUAGUUGGUGAGGUAACGGCUCACCAAGGCGACGAUGCGUAGCCGACCUGAGAGGGUGAUCGGCUACACUGGGACUGAGACACGGCCCAGACUCCUACGGGAGGCAGCAGUAGGGAAUCUUCCGCAAUGGACGAAAGUCUGACGGAGCAACGCCGCGUGAGCGAAGAAGGUCUUCGGAUCGUAAAGCUCUGUUGUUAGGGAAGAACAAGUAUCGGAGGAAAUGCCGGUACCUUGACGGUACCUGACGAGAAAGCCACGGCUAACUACGUG
rnacentral:rRNA from 1 species